GGAAUCUUUUAUUCUGUAGUUCACCAGAAUGUUCUACUUUUUAUUUCUCCUCUUCCUUGGAUGAUGACUGUGGGCCCCAGGUGCCAAACUGUGGAACAUAAUUGUCUACUGAUGGUGACAUCUGCUGGUUUUUCCACACUGGGAUCUGUCUGUGGGUGACCUCUGAGUCAUUUGCUAGAGGCAAAGGCUUCCAUUUUCUUUGCGUAGUGGUAACCAGAGAAGGAUGUGGAUAUUGCUCAAAGAGAAAAAAUGCCCAAGCUCUGCAUCAAAGGCAAGCUGCUGAUUGCUAAGGAUGUGGUACAAGAGCAAGCCAAUCAUUGAUUAUAAGAAAAGGGGAAGGCUUCCAGCUAGUUAAUGAAGCAACCUGCUAACAGUUUUCGGGUUGGAAAAAGUGAUCAAGGACUUUCUUUUACACAAACAGCAUCAUUUGAUUGUUCUCACUCUCUCAUCAUCAGAAGAUUUGUGCAAUACAGUGAGAUGUUGUAGAAAGAGCCUGCAUGGGAUUUGCCAUUAGACCUGGGGCUGGGUUCCAGUUCUAUUCACUCAGUGCUUAUAAAACUUUGAGCAAGCCAAGCUUGCCAAGCCUCAGUAUCCUCACUUAAAAAACAAGAUUAACAGUAGUCACCAGUUCACCUGCUUAUUGUAAAAACUUCAGAUCUGUCAAAGGGCACUGUGAGCUAAAAAUAUCCUAAAUUAUCUAUGCAAAUAUCCAGUAAUAACUAGAGGGGAGGUGCUGAGAACCAGAAGUUUGCAUUUUUAA